AUUGAACGCUGGCGGCAGGCCUAACACAUGCAAGUCGAGCGGUAGCAGUCCUUCGGGAGCUGACGAGCGGCGGACGGGUGAGGAAUGCUUGGGAAUCUGCCCGAUAGAGGGGGAUAACUACGGGAAACUGUAGCUAAUGCCGCAUGACCUCUCAGGAGCAAAGCGGGGGACCUUCGGGCCUCGCGUUAUCGGAUGAGCCCAAGUGGGAUUAGCUAGUUGGUGGGGUAAAGGCUCACCAAGGCGACGAUCUCUAACUGGUCUGAGAGGAUGAUCAGUCACACUGUAACUGAGACACGGUCCAGACUCCUACGGGAGGCAGCAGUGGGGAAUAUUGGACAAUGGGGGCAACCCUGAUCCAGCCAUGCCGCGUGGGUGAAGAAGGCCUUCGGGUUGUAAAGCCCUUUUGGCGGGGAGGAAGGGUGCGAGGUGAAUAAUCUUGCGCUUUGACGUUACCCGCAGAAUAAGCACCGGCAAACUCCGUGCCAGCCGCCGCGGUAACAC
rnacentral:rRNA from 1 species